UGGGACAAGCCCUGGAAACGGGGUCUAAUACCGGAUAUGACCAUCUUGGGCAUCCUUGAUGGUGUAAAGCUCCGGCGGUGCAGGAUGAGCCCGCGGCCUAUCAGCUUGUUGGUGAGGUAACGGCUCACCAAGGCGACGACGGGUAGCCGGCCUGAGAGGGCGACCGGCCACACUGGGACUGAGACACGGCCCAGACUCCUACGGGAGGCAGCAGUGGGGAAUAUUGCACAAUGGGCGAAAGCCUGAUGCAGCGACGCCGCGUGAGGGAUGACGGCCUUCGGGUUGUAAACCUCUUUCAGCAGGGAAGAAGCGAAAGUGACGGUACCUGCAGAAGAAGCGCCGGCUAACUACGUGCCAGCAGCCGCGGUAAUACGUAGGGCGCAAGCGUUGUCCGGAAUUAUUGGGCGUAAAGAGCUCGUAGGCGGCUUGUCGCGUCGGUUGUGAAAGCCCGGGGCUUAACCCCGGGUCUGCAUUCGAUACGGGCAGGCUAGAGUGCGGUAGGGGAGAUCGGAAUUCCUGGUGUAGCGGUGAAAUGCGCAGAUAUCAGGAGGAACACCGGUGGCGAAGGCGGAUCUCUGGGCCGAUACUGACGCUGAGGAGCGAAAGCGUGGGGAGCGAACAGGAUUAGAUACCCUGGUAGUCCACGCCGUAAACGGUGGGCACUAGGUGUGGGCAACAUUCCACGUUGUCCGUGCCGCAGCUAACGCAUUAAGUGCCCCGCCUGGGGAGUACGGCCGCAAGGCUAAAACUC
rnacentral:rRNA from 1 species